rnacentral:lncRNA from 1 species
GAGCCACGUGAGAUACUUGUUAAUACCAAGCUGAAGUAAAUUAUAGGUUACUUUAAGUAAAUUGAUACUCUUGAAUAUUUCUCCUGAUUUUUGUUUUCAUUUGUCACAGAAUUUCCAGAUUGUAGCUAGGCAUAUAGGAUUUUGAGCUUCUAAUCCCAGCACUCCAGAGUCAGGAUUUCAGCAAGUUGAGACCAGCCUGGGUUGUAUAACCUAGCCCCUUUAGGAUUUGAGGUUAUUUGUAUCUGGGAUGGUGAAAUUUUCAAAGUUGAGCCAAGUGUAGGAACUAUUAAAAGACUUCACAUAAGCAGUCUCCAUGUGAGUGACUACGUGUUUCUGUCAGCACUGGCUCAAACACUCAUAUUUAAAUUUCUCAAGUAGCCUGUGUGUAAUGCCCAUGGCAAACUUAAGUUCACUGGCCUUUAUUGCACACUUGUGUUUUCUUGUCCCUCCAUCGCUACAGAUCGAUUCAAACAUGCAGGUGAUGAUAGUGCUUGAGACUUCCUGUUGUGUCACAUCUUUCAACUCUUAUGAAAGCCCUAGGUUUUGUUUUUAUAAUUCUGUGUCCACACCUAUGAGAAAAGUACUCACCAGAAUAGUAUUUCUCACCUUGGACUUAGGCAUCUAUCUAAUACAACUACAUAGUAUGCUAAAUGGCUUUGGGGUAAUUAUUACUGUAAAGCUAUUCUGCAGUAAAAACGUAUUAAAGGGUGGUUAUUCUGCAGAUUCAUCAGUUGUUAGCUGUUUGUGUCACUCAUACAGAGAUAAACUAAAAUGCAUGUUUUUUUAGAGUGCCAUUUUUAGUUCUAUUUAACAUUCAGUCGACAUACAGAUUAGAUUGUGUUGAAUAUCUAGGGUUACAACAGUUUUAACACUCCUAGAUUAUAUCAGAUGAGAAAAAAGGUGUCAGAUGAUACCUAUUUGAAACACGUUCAAUGUACACAUUGCGUUGUUGGCCUGGCUUUUAAGCAUUGGGGUGAUAUCUUUGAGUCUUUAAAUGAGAUUAAGGCUUUGUGGUGAAUUAAAGAGUAGUGUAUUCAUUAUUACUUAAUGAGCUGUAACUAGCAGGCAGUGCACAGUACAACUGGUGUUUCUGCUGUGUAAAACAUCAGGACUGGGAUUCAAUACUAAGAAGAUUAUACAAGUAAAUACUAGACAAAAAUUAUAAAAGAGGGUUAUGCUAUUACAUUCCUGGAGUGCUAGAACCAGGGUAUAAAACAAUAUUAACAGUAACGUUACCUUUAUUUAACCCCCUCAUCAGGCUCUAUCUUCCCCUCACAUUUUGUUCAAAUAUUUCCUAAAAGAUUUUCUGUGGUUUUAACCAGAAUA